CUAGCUGGAAGAAACCACAAACGCUGUGAGAGUCGGGGAAGGAACUGUCUCACAAACAUCAUACCAGGGAAGCUGCGGAAGGGGCCAGCUGAGAGAUAGAAGGAAAGGAGGACCUCCUGCUUCAUGGCGCAUGUGUGUACGGGGGUCGAUGAAAGGAUGGAAAGCAAGGUAUGUCUGUGCACCACAUAAAGACCCUGUCAGAUGACCUGGGACUGGAGCUCUACACAGUUGUAAUCCGAUGCUGGGAAUCACCCCUGAGCAGACCCUUUAAUCUCGUCUCUUUGUGGACAGACUGUGUGUACAGCUAUGCUGAGGAACUGCGGUCUAUGUGGUUCCUGGUCUGCACAAAGCUCUCUUCAAUGGCUUCUUGUUUUUCCCCUUCAAUAGCUUACUGACUUUCCCAGUUUGAUGACCUGAAAGGAUACUAUAGAAGCAGUGUGAGGAAGACUGCCCAGGUAACAACUCUAAUCUGGAGUAGUUUCUGUGCCAGCGAUCUUAGUAGAGAAGAUGCCCGGUCCUGGGGCCUCCCCUGUGACCACCGUGCCUCACUGACCUGUGAAGCGAAGAGACCCUUUCAGUAGCUCUUUCCCCAACACUUCUCUUCUCAGGAAUUCGAAUUCCUCCAUCAAGAGUUCCACGUGCUCCUCAUGCAGGACUCUCCCUAUUGGGACAAGCAGAAUAAAAGGUGGCCAUUACCUGGUAUACAGCCAACUCUGUGCUUGGAGGCUAUGCCAUUCUCCCUCCAGAACAAGAUACAGGAUGCCACAAACAGUAUCCGGAGCACGUGCACGGUCUAUGCCACUCUACCCUCACAUACCACGCCCGACAGUAAUGUGCAUAGCUUCCAAACAUCUCCAAAUCCUUGUGAAAACUCAUCUUUCUGGUUAAUACUAGCUAUCUGUGGGACACAUGGAGGUUCUUGUGCUCAUAGAUAAGGGGAACUAGGAAUGUUAUCUGCCCAGGAUGCUGGAAGCAGACAUCGACAUGCCUGGUGACCUCGUGCCCAGACCCUUAUCAUGAGUUUGUCAAUCUAUAGCACCUAUCUUUGUGGAAAGUGUCACAUGUAGUCAAUCUUUAGAGCCUAUCUUUGUGGUUUGGUAUAGUCCUAUUUUAAGCUUUAUUGUACACAUGGAAUUUUGAGUUAAUUAUCACUAGGAAUUUUUCACUAAAUUGUGCAGUGUUUAAAUGUGCCAAAAAUAAACUACUCCCUCAGGGUCAGACUCUGAAGUCUGAACCAAACCAUGUACUCAGUUACGCUGGGCUGAGCUACCUUUUCACCUUCCGUGAAUGACUGCGCUGCUGGCCCUGGUGGUCACGGAGACCCCUGCAGUAUCACAGUGACUGUGGGAUCUUUGGAGUUUUUAUUAGCAUUUCUUUAGGAACUGGCGACGUUUUAUUUGUUUGCCACUUUGGAAAAUGAGAAUUUCCACAGAGUGCCCUUUUUCAGUCAGGCUGUCUGGUUUGUUCUUCGGUGGUGAAAUCCUGUAGAUCCGAAUGUUAGACUUCGCAGUGAUGUCAUGUGCAGCCUUCCUUCACAAAGGCUGCCCCUUUGAACAUUACUCAGUCCUUCCUCUGACGCAUCAAAGUCCUUCACACUUGUCAGUUCUUUUACUUUCCCUGUGCUUUUAAUAUCACAUGAAGAACUGCUGCCAUUGAAAUGAAGGAGUCGCCUCUUCACUAACUGAUGCUGUGACAGUGGAUGACCACAUGCGAAAUACCGUGCUACCUACUGAUCAAAACACACUCACAGUGAAUCAGCAAACACUCACUAUCCGCUCGGAAACUAGGACACAGUACAUGGAAACAUGGUAAAUGCUUGCGAACACUGGUUCUCUCGAUGUGAAAAACCACAAAUGAUAACUGAGCGAGAGUUAGGAUUCCAUCCCAGCAGCAGGCGUGGCAACAAAGCAGGAAGUGAGCAAGCACAUUUUAAAUCAAAAACAUGAAGUGGAAAGAGGGGUCGGGGAGAACGGGAAUAGGGUUAGGAGAAGGCUAUACAAUCACCAACUUCCAGACUUCUCUCUUAAAUCUCUCCAGAAAGAGCCACUAUCUGGAAACCAAGUAUUCAAAUUGGAGCCUAAUUCUUAUUCAAAUCGCUGUAACUGAACUAGGCGAGAUUCCUUAGGUAAGACACAAAAGUACAGACGUCAAAAGCCAAACAACACACCAGACAUGACAGCAAAUUAACAUGUGUAACGACUGACAGAAUAAAACACCGCCUACAAAAUGAAUUAAAAUUAUAAAAUACAGAUUCAGUAUGGGGUACUAUCAUAUGUAUAUACCCCUACACACACACAUCUCUAUACACACACAUCCCUACACACACGCAUGCACACACAUACACACACACCAGGAAAAGUGGAAAUAGUAAUAAAAAUUUAAAAUUAGGCAAUAUACAUAGAAAUGUCUCUAAAGAAGCCAUGCAAGUAGCCAGGGACUACAGGGAAAAAUGUUCAGCAUUUAUCAUUAAAGAAAUGGAAAAUAUAACCACAAAUGAAAUAUCACCGCAUUCCAUUUAGGAUGGCUAUUAUAAAAAUAAGGCCAAACGAUGCUGGCGAGGAUGUGAGCUGAAGGAAUGGUGACCCCUACAGUAGCAUUGCUAGCAUGGCUCCUAACUUACUGUCAUUAUGGAAAAUACAGUAGAAGUUCCUCACAGGGUUCAAAAUAGACCAGCCAUGACCUGCCAAUUCUGUUACUACUUGUGCAGUCCACAGAAAAUGGAUUGUCAAGGAGACAAAUCAACUGUGGUGCUUGCCCACAGUUCUUCCGCAGUGAGGCUGAGGUCCUGCAAUUCCCACCAGUGGGAGUGAGCCUGGCAAGUAUUAUGUUAAGCAAAACUGAAAUGAGCUGGUACAGACGAGAAAAUGGUGAUGCCGUCCACCAUGUGGAAUGUGAGAAGCCAGUCUUACAGAAGGUGGGGGAGGAAGAAAGGAGAAGCCCGUCACUGAAUACAAUUUUAAAAGAAGGGACAUCCGGUGCACCAGUCCAAUCUGAUGAGUCCCUUGAACUGAGCCAUUCCCAGCCUUAGGCUGCGUCCCACGUCCUGUCACCAAUCCAGUCUGGUUAGUCCAAUAGACUCUUUCCUAUCCUUGCCACAUCCAGCCUGGUCUAGUCUAGGUCGCAUAGCCCAUGCUCUGGACCCUAGCCUGCCGGCCGGCUCUCUCUCUAACCCCAGUUCUAAACCAGGUCACACACAACUGUGCACAACUCAGCCUGGUGCGUCCUGGAACCUAACCUGCAGGCCUUGCUUUGGUGGCACAGACGAUCUGCCAGUCUGGAUACCCUGUUUAGGGGCCAAGAUCCCAUCCACGCCAUCCUCACUCCCAGGCAUAGCUUGGGAGCACAUCUUGCCUACCAGGCCGAACAGAUCCAGCUAAUAUAUUCCAUUUGACUGCUUUCUUUCUUUCUUUCUUUCUUUCUUUCUUUCUUUCUUUUUUUUAAGAUUUAUUUUUAUGUGAGUAUGUGAGUACACUGUCACUGUAAUCAGACACACCAGAAUAGGUCACUGGAUCCCAUUGCAGAUGGUUGUGAGCCACCAUGUGGUUGCUGGGAAUUGAACUCAGGACCUCUGGAAGAACAGUCAGUGCUCUUAACCACUGAGCCAUCUCUCCAGCCCCAUUUGACUGCUUUCUUAUCACUUGCUUUUUUACCAAUGCUGUCUUGCUUACCACUGAAUUGGAAUUAUCUCAUUCCUCCCGUUCAAAACCAACCCUGAACCUGAAGUAUUAACCAAAUCCUCAUACUUGAUAUAAAAUCACCUGAACUUUGGCACUAACAAAAAAAAAAAACAAAAAAAAACAGUUUCAUUCAACAGAGGCAGCCUUGAAUCUCAUACUAGACACACAGUCAAGGGAAGUCCACAUGCCCAGGUCUCACUGGAAAAAAAACAGAAUAUGAAAGGCUAAGACAGUAUGUCCUCCCUGAAAAGCCGGCGGUUCUACAGAAGUUUUCUCUGGUGACAAUUACUUAAAUGGAUCCCAGGGGUUAACAUUUUUUUACCUUUAUUUUUAUUUUCUGGGUACUAGAGCUUUGAGCGCAUGUAUGUUGUGUGUGUACCACAUGUGUGGAGUUCAGAAGAGGAUAUCAAAAGCCCUGUGACUGGAUGGUUAUGAGCUGCCACACGGGCUGGGAGCAAACCUAAGUCCUACGGAACGGCAACCAUUUCUCUUGACAGCUGAGCCUCUCUCCGGUCACAGGACACAGAUGGAAAAGAACAAACAAAUGUAUACCAGUGAUAGAGUUUAAGGAAGACACAAGCAGGGCUGGAGAGGUGGCUCAGUGGCUCAGAGCACUGGCUGCUCUUCCAGAGGAUCUGGGUUCAAUUCCCACCCACAUGGCAGCUUGCAACUGUCUAGACAUAAUUUUAGUUCUGGGGAAUCUGACAUCCUCACACAGACAUACAGGCAGGAAAACACCAAUGCAAAUAAAGUAAAAAUAAAUAAAAAAGAAGCUAUCGGCAAACAGUUCAAUGAAUUUGAAGAGCCUAGCAACAAACACCUGAGUGACAGACAAGGACACAGACGUAAGUCUGAACAAAAGGACAAGAAUCAGGAUUGAAAAUGGGAUCCAGUAGAGAAUCAGAAAUACUGAGGAGAACUCAGUCUAAAAUAAAGAUAGAAUUGGAAAACUUAAAAACCCAAUUAGAAAACUCAGGAGAAAGCCUUACAGUAGGAUAGGUAAAUAGAAGAUAGACCAUCAGGACCUUGGAUUUCUCUAAUCUGCUACACAGAGAACAAGAAACUCUCAGAUAACAAAUGGAUAUAGCUGCUUGACUUUAGACUUCCACCAGUCUGAGGACGUAAAUCUCCCCCUUUUAUUUUUCAUAAAUCACCAACCUCAGCAAACAAAGAUCUCUAAUCUCCAAACUUUAUGAGAACUAAACACAACAGUGUGUUUAAGAGUUUCCUAGCAUUUAGUGAAUCUUUAAUAAAUACUUAUUAAAUUAGUGUAACAAGGAAACUAUAUAGUAUACCUAUAAGACAACCAAUUACUCCGAUGUGGGAACUUUUCCAUUAGUAAGCUGUUGCAGGAUGUUUGAUCACACUGUGAACCCUGAGAUUGUGUUAUUUACUGGGAAAACCUAUUUCUAGUUGUGGUGUGGCUCUGCCUUAACACACACCUAACCUAAGAGCUUUCUGCUCGAAUAUUGUCAACAGGAUUUAAAAAAGUCAACCUUGGUCAAGAGGAGGAACAAGCCUAUACAGUCGACAGGAAGUGAACAUAGGAUUAUUAUAGAAAAACCAUAGAGAGUAAGAGGAAGUCAGGAGGAUGGAUAGAGAGACACACAGGAAGUAGAAGGGAGGGACAUUCAGUUUGUAGGAGAUUUUUAGAGAGGAUUCAUUCUAGGAUAUCAGCUGAAGAGAAUGUCAUCUAGGUGCUUUCUCUAUGUCUCUGAGCUAGUAGGCUUUUAACCUAGUACCUGGCUUCCAAGUCUUCAUUGGUAAAAUCCAAUGAUUGAGAUUUUGUUAAAACAAACAAACAAACAAACAAACAAACAAAAACAACAGUAAGUACGUGAGGUACAACUAAAAUUCAACAUCAUGCCACUAUGACAUGUGGAAACCAGUCCACUGUUUUCAUUAGAACAAAGUCAAGAGUCCACAAAGUCCUCUGCACUCUUCUCACCUCACACCUCCCUGUGCAUCCACAGCCUGGGGCCUGGGGGAGCUGGGGAACUCAGGACCAAGCAGAUGCACAUAGGGCGACUUACUGGAAAAGCCUAGAAACUCAAGAGGCAGAGGUGUGGCAAGGCCACACUAGAGUCAGAGAACACUCACCUUUCUGUGCGGCCAGCUCCCACAGCUCCUGGGCCGCCGCAAAUGACAGUGUCAUGGGGUAUUCCACGAGGACAUGCUUGCCAGCCUGCAGAAACUGCCUUUGAAAACAAAAGCAUGGGGAAAGGACACUUCAGAUAAACACUCAGAUGCCCUGUAGGGACACGAGUCUGCAAAUGCACAAGAGCCCGUGGCAGAGUGUAGCAAACAGCCGAGAGCCUUGCAAAAUAAAUCUAUACCAAGCUUGUCCAGUUAUAAGAUCAUUUCACUAUUCAUCAAUAUUUAAACUCUGGGUUUCUUUCUAUCACUGGCAUAAACGUUAUGAUCGAAAGCAACUUUGGGAUAAAAGGGUUUAUUUCACAGGGUCUCACUAUAUACUCCAUGCUGUCCUGGAACUCACAGCUCUGCUUGCCUCUGCCUUCUGAGUGCUGGGAUUAAAGGCAUGCAUUACCACAUCCAGCCCCAGACAGAA